rnacentral:rRNA from 1 species
UACGUAGGGGGCAAGCGUUGUCCGGAUUUAUUGGGCGUAAAGAGCGUGUAGGCGGUCAGGUAGGUCCGUUGUGAAAACUCGAGGCUCAACCUCGAGACGCCGAUGGAAACCAUCUGACUAGAGUCCGGAAGAGGAGAGUGGAAUUCCUGGUGUAGCGGUGAAAUGCGCAGAUAUCAGGAAGAACACCCGUGGCUAAGGCGGCUCUCUAGUACGGUACUGACGCUGAGACGCGAAAGCGUGGGGGAGCGAACAGGG